rnacentral:rRNA from 1 species
AACUAAGUUUCAACAACGGAUCUCUUGGCUCUCGCAUCGAUGAAGAACGCAGCGAAAUGCGAUAAGUAAUGUGAAUUGCAGAAUUCAGUGAAUCAUCGAAUCUUUGAACGCACCUUGCGCUCCUUGGUAUUCCUUGGAGCAUGCCUGUUUGAGUAUCAUGAAAU